UGACUUGCGUGAAGUUGUUGCAACCGGGAGGUGUGCCAAGCUCCUGAAGGAGGAGCUGAUUUAGAGGAGCUCCUCCCCACAGGCCGUGGUGCCCGAGCCCCCUGCCUGCUCUGGUCUCUCCCGAGGGGUCGCCUACACCUGCUCCAAAUAAACUUUGAUAAACCCUC